rfam:Salmo salar isolate Sally breed double haploid chromosome ssa14, whole genome shotgun sequence.
UGCAUGCAUGACUUAAGUCGCUUUGGAUAAAAGUGUCUGUUAAAUGGUAUAUU